ACAUCCCUCACCGAUCUGGUCAUGUUCAUGUUAUUCUGCAGCUCCAUAAUGAGGUCAAACAGCGCCAGCAGGAAGGCCAGGAACCCGAACACCGAGAAGGCAUCAUUGCAACCUGCGUAGCCACCGAAGAAGAACCUGUGAGGAGACCCCGGUGCCUUUGAUGUAGCCUUGUCCUUCUUCUCUCCUCGGAUGAAGCAGAGGUAAGUUGUCUUAUCUAGUCUUAUUUUUCUUGUCUUAUCUAGUCUUAUUUUUCCUUCUUGAUUGAAUUAGUUAGUCGGUCUAAUAAUAUUCUCCUCUCUUGCUAUCAUUUUGUUGAGUGUCUUGUAGUGAGUUAUGCAGAAAAUGAAUCCUAAUACACGAUUUUCUUUAUUUCUGCCCUUUAUGCAUUGUUCCCUAUUACGGAGAUCACUUGCUGAGUGUCUUGUGGUGCGACACGUUCUCAACCAUCUCAGAGGAAGGAUACGUAUCUUUUACAUCCCGGCAAGUGGAAGAAGGAGCGGUCUUGGUAACGUGCAUCGCCUCCGGAGUGAUCCACGCUUGGGGCUGAGCGUUCAUGAGGGCGUGUCGGACGUGUCAGGCGUGGGGGGUGUCACGCUGUGGGUUGGGCGGCGGCAAAGUAGGCAUAGUGCUGCUGCGGGGUCUUGGUGUCGAAGGGUGCCCGCUGCAGCCGCCCCUCGCCCCUCCUGAAGGCCUCCCGCAGCACCUCGGGCGUGGCGCUGAAGACUGUCGCGUUCUCUGGCUUGUACUUACUGGAAAGAGAGAAAUUAAGGAGUGAUGAGAUGCACUAAGGUGUGUAGUAGCAGGCCCGACGCCGCUGUCUGCCUGAUGGGGACACUCACGGCCUCGCCAAUGGUUUUGCCGCCUCUCACACACGCCCACGCCCACGACAUACCGCGCCUAAGGAGAGAGGAAGCUGCAGCGGAACCUUCUCGCUGUAGCAUCUGACGCGUCUCCUCCGGCAGCCCGUAGGAGAAGUCACUCUGAAGGAUGGAGAGAGCAAUGUCUGGACACGGAGGCUUUGGAUUGCGGCCACUGGAAAUUUUGGUCUUUAAGAAGGAACAGAUGAUACGAGAGAGAGAGGAAUAAGUGGAGAGACGGCAGAAGACAGAGCCUAAUAGAAAAUAGUGAGGAACAGCGACCUCAUAUGAACAAGGAAGAGGCUGCAGAAGAAAGAAGGCACAGGAGACAGAAGCACAAAAACCAGAACUCUGCCGGCCUGGAUUGAGGAGAGAAAGAUCUCGAGGCGGCGAAGGUCUGCCCAGGGCUGGAAGUGUUCUGGGGCCCGCAUCACCCGCCCUGUCGCCUGGGGAGGAAGCGAGAGUGAAAGGCAGGGAGGAACUGAAGGCGAGAGAGACAGAGAGAAAGGAGAGAUUUUUUUUUUUUAACAUACUUUAUACAUAAAAAUAAGUGUACUCUUUGGAGGUGUGAAAAAAUACAUAACAAGGAUCUUAUAUUAAUGUUUGCAAACUCACGCAUUACUAAACGACAUUUGUGCCACAACCACCGCCAUUUUCACCACCACCACUUCUUCCCCUACAGGUGCUGUGUGCUCACCUGGUGGAGGACCGUUACGUACAGACCCUCGCUGCUCCUGGUGUCAUUAAGGUCCUGCAGGUAACUUGCUGAGAACACCGCCUCCUGCAAUACUCAAGGUUAACAAGGAACAUAUACCAUCAAAGGGAAAAGAAGCAACCACAGUAAUCCCCAUAAUUAAUACGGUGGCCUUUAUCAACAAUCCUAGCGAGAGAGGAAUGCAUUUAAGAAAACAGGUCAAUGACGGAGACAGUAAGUUAACCUACACAGGAAGACAACACUCAUGGUGAAGAUAGUGAGGAAGAAACGCAUGUAUUAACACAUGUAAUGAACGAUGUAGUCUCUGAAAACGACCCUAUUCAGGCAACCAUGCAUUAAUGAAUACUGGUCAGUGACUCAGUAAGGAAUAUGUACAGCUCUCGAUAUUCCUUGAUGACAACACUGUUAAUAAACGACGUUAAGUUAUAGGAAACUC